UACGUAGGGGGCAAGCGUUGUCCGGAAUCAUUGGGCGUAAAGCGCGUGUAGGCGGCUUAGUAAGUCUGCUCUGAAAGCCCGGGGCUCAACCCUGGGAGGCGGGUGGAUACUGCUGAGCUUGAGUCCGGAAGAGGCGAGUGGAAUUCCUGGUGUAGCGGUGAAAUGCGCAGAUAUCAGGAAGAACACCAACGGCGAAGGCAGCUCGCUGGGACGGUACUGACGCUGAGACGCGAAAGCGUGGGGAGCGAACAGG
rnacentral:rRNA from 1 species